GCCCAGGUGGCGGAACCGGUAGACGCGCUGGAUUCAAAAUCCAGUUUUCCUUGGAAAGUGAGGGUUCAAGUCCCUCCCUGGGCACCA
rnacentral:tRNA from 1 species